rnacentral:rRNA from 1 species
GCAGUCGAGCGGAACGAUGGGAGCUUGCUCCCAGGCGUCGAGCGGCGGACGGGUGAGUAACGCGUAGGAAUCUACCCAGUAGCGGGGGAUAGCCCGGGGAAACCCGGAUUAAUACCGCAUACGCCCCACGGGGGAAAGCAGGGGAUCUUCGGACCUUGCACUAUUGGAUGAGCCUGCGUUGGAUUAGCUAGUUGGUGGGGUAAUGGCCUACCAAGGCGACGAUCCAUAGCUGGUCUGAGAGGAUGAUCAGCCACACUGGGACUGAGACACGGCCCAGACUCCUACGGAAGGCAGCAGUAGGGAAUAUUGGACAAUGGGGGCAACCCUGAUCCAGCCAUGCCGCGUGUGUGAAGAAGGCUUUCGGGUUGUAAAGCACUUUCAGCGAGGAGGAAAUGGCAGCGGCUAAUAUCCGCAGUCUAUGACGUUACUCGCAGAAGAAGGACCGGCUAACUCCGUGCCAGCAGCCGCGGUAAUACGGAGGGUCCGAGCGUUAAUCGGAAUUACUGGGCGUAAAGCGCGCGUAGGCGGUUAGAUCAGUCGGGUGUGAAAGCCCCGGGCUCAACCUGGGAACUGCAUUCGAUACUGUCUGACUGGAGUAUGGGAGAGGGCAGUGGAAUUCCAUGUGUAGCGGUGAAAUGCGUAGAUAUGUGGAGGAACACCAGUGGCGAAGGCGACUGCCUGGCCCAAUACUGACGCUGAGGUGCGAAAGCGUGGGGAGCGAACAGGAUUAGAUACCCUGGUAGUCCACGCCGUAAACGAUGUCAACUAGCCGUUGGG